rnacentral:rRNA from 1 species
UACUUAGGUGGCAAGCGUUAUCCGGAAUUACUGGGCGUAAAGCGCACGCAGGUGGUUACUUAAGUCUGAUGUGAAAGCUCCUGGCUUAACUGGGAGAGGUCGUUGGAAACUGGGUAACUUGAGGUGAUGAGAGGGGUGUGGAAUUCCCGGUGUAGUGGUGGAAUGCGUAGAUAUCGGGGGGAACACCAGUGGCGAAAGCGGCACCCUAGCAUUGACCUGACGCUCAGGUGCGAAAGCGUGGGUAGCGAACGGG